AUGUCGCGCGUUGUUCGCUGCCCUGUAGCAUGGGCCCCGCGUGACAGUUCCUUCUUCCUAGUCGUGUUCUCCCACGACUCUGCUCUAUAGGGAUUCCAUUUAGGCCAUGGCCAAGCUGACCCCACACCGCCGGACUCUCCGCCUCUGCUUGCGCACGUGAAGAAAGAACGCCACCGCGUCGUCCUCCUCUGGGCGACACGGGCGGCUCCUCCAUCGAUCCCACUCAACUCCACCCGCCGCACAGGUCUUCACUUCGCCGUCGCCGGAGCAGCUCGCCGAAAGUCCGGCGAGCAGCGAGGAGGACAGCGGCGGGACCGUUUUUUCCCUCAUUUCCCUCCCCUUCCCGUCUCCUGCUCCCUUCUUCCAUCCCCUCCACUCCUCCCUCCUGGCCUGUAAGCCGUUGGGAAGGCUGGAUCGGUGUGCUGGGUGGCUAGAUCCGCUGUGCUGGGUGGCUAGAUCCGCUCUUCGCCCGGCGUGGCUGGCCCGCGGCGGCUGCGCCCGCACACUCGCGUCGGCGGCGGUCGGAUCUGGUGGCCUCUCGGCUGGAGCACGGCGCACCAGACUGGCUUCUGAAAAAAUAUCCCAAACAGCGCAAUUAAAUUUUUAGUAUUAUAAUCCAUUGAACUUCGGUUUUUUUUUUGC